GAAAUGCGAUAAGUAGUGUGAAUUGCAGAAUUCAGUGAAUCAUCGAAUCUUUGAACGCACAUUGCGCCCCUUGGUAUUCCAUGGGGCAUGCCUGUUCGAGCGUCUUUUGUACCCUCAAGCUCUGCUUGGUGUUGGGUGUUUGUCCCGUCUCCGCGCGUGGACUCGCCCCAAAGUGAUUGGCAGCCGGCGUACUGGUCCCGGAGCGCAGCACAUGUCGCGCAAACGAGUGCCUUGGUACGGCGGCGUCCAUAAGCCCCUCUCUCACGCUCUUGACCUCGGAUCAGGUAGGGAUACCCGCUGAACUUAAGC
rnacentral:misc_RNA from 1 species